rnacentral:rRNA from 1 species
AUUGAACGCUGGCGGCAGGCCUAACACAUGCAAGUCGAGCGGAGCGGCGGACGGGUGAGUAAUACCUAGGACUCUGCCUGGUAGUGGGGGAUCACGUUCGGACACGGACGCUAAUACCGCAUACUCACAGAUGAGCCUAGGUCGGAUUAGCUAGUUGUUGAUGUAAUGGCUCCCCAAGGCUACGAUCCGUAACUGGUCUGAGAGGAUGAUCAGUCACACCGGAACUGAGACACGGUACAGACGCAUACGGGAGGCAGCAGUGGGGAAUAUUGGACAAGGGGCGAAAGCCUGAUCCAGCAAUGCCGCGUGUGUGAAGAAGGUCAUCGGAUUGUAAAGCACUUUAAGUUGGGAGGCGGUACCGACAGAAUCAGCACCUGAUAACUCUGUGCCAGCAGCCGCGGUAAUAC